GACAGAGGGGGCAAGCGUUGCUCGGAAUUACUGGGCGUAAAGGGCGCGUAGGCGGGAUGGCAAGUCGGUCGUGAAAUCCCUCGGCUCAACUGAGGAUCGUCGAUCGAUACUGCCGUUCUUGAGGAUUGCAGAGGAGACUGGAAUUCCCGGUGUAGCGGUGAAAUGUGUAGAGAUCGGGAGGAACACCGGUGGCGAAGGCGGGUCUCUGGGCAAUUCCUGACACUGAGACACGAAGGCCAGGGGAGCAAACGGG
rnacentral:rRNA from 1 species